AGCUCGUAGUCCGAACUCGGGUUCGUGGUCGCUCGCGCGGCCCCGGGGCGGCGGCGCCAUCGUCCGUCGUUGACUUUGGUCGUCCGUUCGCAUUCCCGGCCCUUUCCGCCGGUGUCGACUGCCAUGUACAUCCGCCUCGCGGUCCUGCCGGCGAAAAUCUUUGCGCGGAUGGCGUCUGGGGGGGCGUUCGGGGCGGUCAAGGGAUUGCGGGGUUAAAGGUGGGGGUGGCGUUGGAAUCAGGGGGGCGGGCGGUCGUCCUUCGCGGGGCUUCAGCUCUCUCUUCCCAAUCGUCCUAACCUUCCUCUCGUUUUCCCUCGUCUCGUUUUCGUCUCCCCCUCUCGUUGCCGAGUAAUGUUUCGUCGCGCGCGCGUGUUUGCGGUCGGGCGGUUUCUCCUCCAAGGGUGCUCUUAACCGAGUGUCCGCGGCGGCCGGUACGUUCACUUUGAAAAAAUUAGAGUGCUCAGAGCGGGCUGUUCAAGCUUGCAUACGAUAAGCAUGGAAUGAUGGAAGAGGGCCUCGUCUACGUCUGUCGGUCUCCGUCUACGGCGAGGCAAUGAUCGAAGGGAGCGGUCGGGGCCACUCGUAUUGCGACGUUAGAGGUGAAAUUCUUGGAUCGUCGCAAGACGAACUGCAGCGAUGGCGUGUGGCAAGCACGUUUUCCUCGAUCAAGAGCGAAAGUCGGAGGUUCGAAGACGAUCAGAUACCGUCGUAGUUCCGACCGUAAACGAUGCCGACCGGCGAUCCGCCGGCGUUCGCUUCCAUGACCCGGCGGGUAGCCUGCGGGAAACCAGAGUUCGGUUCCGGGGGGAGUAUGGUUGCAAAGCUGAAACUUAAAGGAAUUGACGGAAGGGCACCACCAGGAGUGGAGCCUGCGGCUUAAUUUGACUCAACACGGGAAAACUCACCCGGUCCGGACACCGGUAGGAUUGACAGAUCGAUAGCUCUUUCUCGAUUCGGUGGGUGGUGGUGCAUGGCCGUUCUUAGUUGGUGGAGCGAUCCGUCUGGUUGAUUCCGAUAACGAACGAGACUCCGGCCUGCUAACUAGUGCGCCGAUGUGUGUGCGUUUUUCGCUACGGCGGGCUCGGGCCGUGCGUGUUCGUCGCGCGUUGCCUCGUGCGUGCGUCUGCGUUCGUUUUUUCGUUCGUCGGCGGCGGCUGUGGGCGGGGGAAGUGGCGGUUCUCCGUCGCUUUUCUUUUUCCGCGGUCGUCUCGGCGGGCGGGAGCGGGCGUGGGCGUCGUCGAUGGCGCGUGCGGUCGUGCGUGCGGUUUCCGCCGGGUCCGGGUCGGUUUUCUCACGCACUUCUUAGAGGGACGGGUGGCAGAAAGCCACACGAGGCGGAGCGAUAACAGGUCUGUGAUGCCCUUAGAUGUCCGGGGCCGCACGCGCGCUACACUGGAGGUAUCAGCGGGGACUUCGCCCCGGCCCGAGAGGGCUGGGAAACCUCUCAACCACCUCCCGUGAUAGGGAUCGGGGCCUGUAACCAACCCCGUGAACGAGGAAUUCCCGGUAGGCGCGGGUCAACAGCCCGCGUCGAUCACGUCCCUGCCCUUUGUACACACCGCCCGUCGCUACUACCGAUCGAACGGUCCGGUGAGGUCCUCGGAUCUGGCCGACGACGCCGCCGGGCUGCCUGGUGGCUCUGCUGCUUGUGUCGCCUCGGCGUUCGACGCCUGGAGAAGACGACCGAACCCGAUCGU
rnacentral:rRNA from 1 species